UACGGAGGGUGCAAGCGCUAAUCGGAAUUACUAGGCGUAAAGCGCACGUAGGUGGUUUGUUAAGCCAGCUGUGAAAUCCCCGGGCUCAACCUGGGCCCUGCAGUUGGAACUGGCAAGCUAGAGUAGGGUAGAGGGGUGUGGAAUUCCAGGUGUAGCGGUGAAAUGCGUAGAUAUCUGGAGGAACAUCAGUGGCGAAGGCGACACCCUGGACUCAUACUGACACUGAGGUGCGAAAGCGCGGGGAGCAAACAGG
rnacentral:rRNA from 1 species